AGAAACGCACGCACGCACGUAUUAUGUUGGCUGUUACUAACAUUUCAUCUCCAAUUGAUUUCCGGCGAUUUAAGCCACCAUUUGACGCACCGUUUCUUCCUACUUAAGCUCCACAUCUUCCUCUUCGUUUCCCCUCAAACGGCACCUCCCGAGAGCCCCCAGGCUGCUCGAAUUUUCGCUCGCAAGUCCGCUGUACCAUCACACUAAAUCGUCGAUUCCGCGACGGUGCCAUCUUCGACUGUGAGCACGUAGGCGAGAGGUUUUCCGGCGAGCAAUUUCCGGCGAACUACUGCACCUCGACGCCGCGACUUUGUCAUCGAGUUUCCCUUGUCAAGCUGAGCUUCACCGUCUUCCCCGCCAUCGCCAAGGAGCACCGGAACGUCAACGCCGGCGACAUCAGACAAUACUGCUGUGCGUUCCCAUUGCGACUGUGACAGCUGCAACCUUUAUGACUGCGAAGGUUGCAACUCCUCCCACUGAAAAAGGCAAGUGACACACACCAAAAGUCCCAGUUUUAAUUCUUGCACCGUAGUGUUUUUAUAGUAGACAUGUCUAGGGUUUAUGCUUUAUGCCUGCUAAUAAAUCCUAGUAGUUUAGCUACACCACUCCUACACUCCUUUAGCCGCCAUUAAAUUUAGUUGUUACCUGCUAUGCCAUGGAAAAUGUUUUGAUAGAGGUUAAGGAAAAACAACUAAGUUUAAUGAACUACCUGGGUGAAUGGUGGAGCUUUGGAGCGGGUGGCUGCAUCAGGGGGCCCUGUCAACGGCGAUACCCUGGUGUGAGUACACAUUUGCGGAAAGUCACCCAGGAUUAAAGAGAUUGUAGACAACCUUGCUCAUUAGCUUACCGUACAACCACAUGCUAUAUGGGCUCUGGCUUGACGGAGUAUGUUGUGAGAACCCGGAUCCUACGUGACAGAUGAUGUAGGGGAUUGUAGGUUGGUACGGGUCCGUAGAGGAUGGUCUGGGGGAUUACUUCGGAAAAGUCUCGUCCUAGUCAACAUCUGUCCAUUUGAGCAAAAUGUGCAUCAUGGAAAAAGAGCAGACUAGGUCAUGUGGGUAAAGGUGUAUAACCUCUCGAGAGUGUAAAUCUAAGUACUUAGCCGUGUCCCCGGUUAUGGACAACUUGAGCGAACUGACAAGUCUUUGUUCGAAGAUCUCCUCAUCCCAAUUUCUUAAAUAAAAUUUGGUGGGUGAACAAGGGUAGGAAGGUACAUUGGGGCUUUACCAAUGUUACUGUUAAAUGGUUACAUUGGGGAUUUACCAAUGUUACUGUAAAUUAGAUUGAAAGAAAAUGUUUUGAUAAAUGAUAGGGAAAAAUUGGCUUUAUGCAAAAUGAACCUGAGCUCUACCAGCCAGAUGUGCACGUAGGUAUAGGAUGCCUUUCGAGUCCACAAAAGUGUCCUUGCCAAUACAAUUCAAAUGUAUUGACCAUUCGUGGCUGCAACGUAUCAUGUUGCAGGUUUUUUAGACGAUGAGUAAGGAAACGUUAGGGGUUACGAGUCUAUCCUCAACAUGCUCGCCUGUGGCACAUGAAGACGAAGGACUCCAUGUUGUUUAUGUUUGUCCGUUGUAAAACUCUGAUGAUAUGCUAGCCUUGUGCUAUGCAAUUUGUAAUCCUUUAUGUAAAUUCUGGAUCAUACGAUGUAAUAAAGACCUUUGUAUCUUGGUAUUACA